GUAGUUUCUCCAUUCACUGAUCUCAUGUUUUGAGGGCAUAUUAUCUCAAGAGAUGCUCAGUGCUGGGGUACGAGAGUAAGUCAAACAGAUAUUUAUCUGUUCUUAUGAUGUGUACAAUCAAGGGCAAGCAUUUAUCUGUUCUCAAGGUGCUUAUCAUCAAAGCAAGCGUUAGUUGACUGAUCACACCAACAAGCAAGUGCUACCAAAAAAAAAGUGUGCUGACAACACAGAGCUGGGGCCAGGGAAGGUUUCAACUGAGCUGAAACCUGAAGGAUGCAUGGGACCUAAUGUGACAAUGAGCAGGGAAGGGGAUGGGGCCCCGGGGAAGAAAGAGCAGCCUCUAGUCCACGAGUGGAAAGAAGGCUGUUGGCUGAGGCACUAGAAACCUCAAGGGACCCAAGAGGCAAGGCAGGAAGCAGGCAUGACGAGGACUUAGAGCCUCAUUCUCACAGGAAGCCAUCCACAGGGUUUUAAAGGCAAAGAAAGGGAGGACACUGACCUGGCCAUGCUGGUGGUGUCCUUCCUAGAUCUUCUCUUAAUUCCUUCUGCUGCAACACAUGCUCCCUAGUACCUGC
rnacentral:lncRNA from 1 species